rnacentral:rRNA from 1 species
AGACCCGAAACCCGGUGAUCUAGCCAUGGGCAGGUUGAAGGUUGGGUAACACUAACUGGAGGACCGAACCGACUAAUGUUGAAAAAUUAGCGGAUGACCUGUGGCUGGGGGUGAAAGGCCAAUCAAACCGGGAGAUAGCUGGUUCUCCCCGAAAGCUAUUUAGGUAGCGCCUCGUGAAUUCAUCUCCGGGGGUAGAGCACUGUUUCGGCUAGGGGGCCAUCCCGGCUUACCAACCCGAUGCAAACUGCGAAUACCGGAGAAUGUUAUCACGGGAGACACACGGCGGGUGCUAACGUCCGUCGUGAAGAGGGAAACAACCCAGACCGCCAGCUAAGGUCCCAAAGUCAUGGUUAAGUGGGAAACGAUGUGGGAAGGCCCAGACAGCCAGGAUGUUGGCUUAGAAGCAGCCAUCAUUUAAAGAAAGCGUAAUAGCUCACUGGUCGAGUCGGCCUGCGCGGAAGAUGUAACGGGGCUAAACCAUGCACCGAAGCUGCGGCAGCGACGCUGAUGCGUUGUUGGGUAGGGGAGCGUUCUGUAAGCCUGUGAAGGUGGCCUGUGAGGGUUGCUGGAGGUAUCAGAAGUGCGAAUGCUGACAUAAGUAACGAUAAAGCGGGUGAAAAGCCCGCUCGCCGGAAGACCAAGGGUUCCUGUCCAACGUUAAUCGGGGCAGGGUGAGUCGACCCCUAAGGCGAGGCCGAAAGGCGUAGUCGAUGGGAAACGGGUUAAUAUUCCCGUACUUGGUGUUACUGCGAAGGGGGGACGGAGAAGGCUAUGUUGGCCGGGCGACGGUUGUCCCGGUUUAAGCGUGUAGGUGUGUGUUCCAGGUAAAUCCGGUUCACUUUAACACUGAGGCGUGAUGACGAGGCACUACGGUGCUGAAGCAACAAAUGCCCUGCUUCCAGGAAAAGCCUCUAAGCAUCAGGUAACAUCAAAUCGUACCCCAAACCGACACAGGUGGUCAGGUAGAGAAUACCAAGGCGCUUGAGAGAACUCGGGUGAAGGAACUAGGCAAAAUGGUGCCGUAACUUCGGGAGAAGGCACGCUGACACGUAGGUGAAGUGAUUUACUCACGGAGCUGAAGUCAGU